AGCGAACGCUGGCGGCAGGCUUAACACAUGCAAGUCGAACGGGCUUCUUCGGAAGUCAGUGGCAGACGGGUGAGUAACACGUGGGAACGUGCCCUUCGGUUCGGAAUAACUCAGGGAAACUUGAGCUAAUACCGGAUACGCCCUUUUGGGGAAAGGUUUACUGCCGCAGGAUCGGCCCGCGUCUGAUUAGCUUGUUGGUGGGGUAACGGCCUACCAAGGCGACGAUCAGUAGCUGGUCUGAGAGGAUGAUCAGCCACACUGGGACUGAGACACGGCCCAGACUCCUACGGGAGGCAGCAGUGGGGAAUAUUGGACAAUGGGCGCAAGCCUGAUCCAGCCAUGCCGCGUGAGUGAUGAAGGCCUUAGGGUUGUAAAGCUCUUUUGUCCGGGACGAUAAUGACGGUACCGGAAGAAUAAGCCCCGGCUAACUUCGUG
rnacentral:rRNA from 1 species